CUCAAGGUGGAAGGCGAUGGAGGGAACAUACAUAGUGCUGAGCAAUCACAUCCCCCACAGCACGGAGCUCAAGCUUUUGCAGGUCUCUCAAGAAUUAUUAGUGGAUUUAGGGAAGUUACCUUCAUCCUUCCUAAGGACACCUCUCCAGAGGUCUAAGAACCGUGUGUGUGUGUGUGUGUGUGUGUGUGUGUGUGUGUGUGUGUGCCUUGCAGGCAUAAUGGAACGAGAGAAUUGAAAUCCACAGUCCAUCUUCUGACUUCCGUAAUAGGUCCUGGCACCCGUGCUCCUACAUGCACGCGUGCACACACACACACAUUUUUAAAUGAGAAAGGAAGGAAAGAAGAAAAUAAUGAGCUGAAGACCAGGGCCAGUUACGCCUAAGGGAAGGCAAGAGUCCCUUGUCCAGCUUUCAAACCUGAACCUGUCCUUGCUCUCAGAGCCCUUCAACUGAGAAGGGCCCCACAAGUGUGGGCCCCUCCAUGCAGAGACCGCACAGGACAGUGGGGCCCUGCACCAAGGGCUACACACAAUGGAACUUGAACAGGGAUACACUGACUCCUGGUUCUGGGGGCUGGGAAUGGCGCUCAGGAUCUCCCACAUUCCCUGCAUCCUGUUCCCAGUGCUUACAGACCCACCUGGCCAGGAGUGACACUGUCCACCGUGAGCAGGAUCCUCCCACACCAAUCAUUAGCCAAGGCAGUGCUCCUCAGGCCAACCUGUGGAGAUGGAGAUUCCUCAGUUGAGAUGCCUUCUGCCUAGGGCCUCUAUGAACUCUCCUAAAAACAACACAAGAAAGAACACUCGACAUUGAUUCCGAGCCGUAGAUAUCACUAAAGGAAACAGUCAAUACAGAUUUAAAAAGGAAAAUCGGAACCUCUAAUUUCACUGGGAAAUUCGAAUCCGUUUUGGUUUGCUCUGGGCAUUAAUAAUCUGAUUGAAAGACAGACUGCAGACCCGGAGUUUGGGCCCAACCCAGAGCCCAGCUGUUGCCAGGGCUCUAAUGAGCCCGCUGCCUGUGAUGUCUGCUCGCUGUAGGGCUGGCUUCGCUGGUUCUGGGGGAGACCUUGGCGCUGAGAUGUAGUUGCGAGAGGCUCCCAGCAGGCUGACGGGGGCUGAUCGCCUCAGGUGGAGAAGACCUAGAGCCCAGACACGUGACUCCAUACAGCACCGCUGCCGCCGAAGGGGAAAAAAGCUGAAGCUCAUUGACCAUCGAGGGCUCGGGCUUAGAAAUGCAGAGGGGGAAAUCUCCCAGGAGGACACCGGCUUUGUGGCUGGCGAGAUUUUAAUUAGAUUCCGAGGGCUCCCGUUUAAGCCCGGAGAUCUUAGGUUUGAACAAUCAAUGAACUCAAUCCAAGCGUGGAGAGGAGAGAGCGGGACAGCCCGGGGUCACCACGCCGCGCGCGUGCAGUUGGCUGGAGCUGGGGGCGCCGGGCCGUGUAGAGGAGCCUCGCGGAGGGGCUAGCUCAAGCUAAGCAGCCACAGACAAACCCAGGUCUCUCUGCAGCGUGGGGACAGCGGCACCAGGGUGGUUGAAAAGGAGAGCCCGGCAAGCCGGCUGGAGGCAUCCCAGUGUCCUUUCGCAUCUCCCAUGUAUUUAUUUAUUUCUGGCUUUAGCGAUGUCUUUUUCCUUUUCACUUUAAAGAAUUUUUUGGGAUUAGAAUAUAAUUACAACAUUCCUCCGUUUCCUUUCUCCCCCCCCACACCUCCCCACAUACUCCUCCUUGCUCUCUUUUAGAUUCACAGCCUCUUCAGUCAUUGUUACCGCUUGCAUGUAUGUAUACACAUAUGUAUUUCCAACUGUAACCUGCUCAGUGUGUAAUGUCACUUGCAUGUAUGUUUUCAGCCCUGCUGUGUGGUAUUAGAUAACCAGGGUGCCCUUCUGUGGAUGUCUAGGGCUGUGGCCCGACGGUUUCUCCCCCAUCUGGUUUGGCGCGCCUGUGGGUGUCGUCCUGGUUCGGUUCACGGUUGGGCAGACAUGCUGGUGACGCUCUACGGAUGCUCCUUCUGACAUUGUUAGGAAACAAUCUCCCCGCAAACUCCCGACCUCUGGCUCCUACCGUCUUCCCAGCCUGUCUUCCCGAAUGGUUCCUGAGCCUGAGGUGCAGGAGUGUCUUCAGAUGUCACCGCUGGGGUUGGGCUCACAGCUCGGCACUGUGUUUCCCUGACGCGUUCAGUCCCAGGGCAGCUUGAAACAACUGCCAAGGAGGGAGAGAAGGUGCAAUGUCAGCAAGGCCCCUCCGGCCUAGCAUCAUUGCUCGGAAAUCCUGGUUUGCAGACACAUUCCUGCCGUCUCUGCUGCUUCAUUUCACAGCCCCGCAUCCUGUCCCUGCCCCUGCUUGUUGGUAAUUUAAAAUUAUGGUCUAAUAGUGUUUAUUAUUAGCCCUGUAAUUAUUACAACGGUAUUAUCUAACCUGCUAUCACAAUCAAUACAGGACACAGACACCUGA